GGCUCAAGGCUGGGGCUAGUUUCUUUCAGUAUUUUAGACAACAACCUAAACACCUCUAUCAGUGCCUGGGAAUGUUCAAGGCCCUGGCUUGGAGUCAAGCCUGCAGGUUGGGAGGUGGCUGGAGAUCAUAUCCAGAGUGGGGCUGGAGGUUCUGACAAUGAUUACCUGAUCUUAAACUUGCAUAUCCCAGGAUUUAAACCACCAACAUCUAUGACUGGAGCCACGGGUUCUGAACUAGGAAGAAUAACAUUUGUCUUUGAGACCCUCUGUUCAGCCGACUGUGUUUUGUACUUCAUGGUGGAUAUUAAUAGAAAAAGUACGAAUGUGGUAGAAUCAUGGGGUGGAACCAAAGAAAAACAAGCUUACACCCAUAUCAUCUUCAAGAAUGCAACUUUUACAUUUACAUGGGCGUUCCAGAAAACUAAUCAGGGUCAAGAUAAUAGACGGUUCAUCAAUGACAUGGUGAAGAUUUAUUCUAUCACAGCCACUAAUGCAGUUGAUGGGGUGGCGUCCUCCUGCCGUGCCUGUGCACUCGGUUCUGAACAGUCGGGUUCAUCGUGUGUCCCCUGCCCUCCAGGCCACUACAUUGAGAAAGAAACCAACCAGUGCAAGGAAUG
rnacentral:sRNA from 1 species